UACGAAGGGGACUAGCGUUGUUCGGAAUUACUGGGCGUAAAGCGCACGUAGGCGGAUUUGUAAGUCAGGGGUGAAAUCCCGGGGCUCAACCUCGGAACUGCCUUUGAUACUGCAAAUCUCGAGUCCGAUAGAGGUGGGUGGAAUUCCUAGUGUAGAGGUGAAAUUCGUAGAUAUUAGGAAGAACACCGGUGGCGAAGGCGGCCCACUGGAUCGGUACUGACGCUGAGGUGCGAAAGCGUGGGGGGCAAACAGG
rnacentral:rRNA from 1 species